rnacentral:rRNA from 1 species
GAUGAACGCUGGCGGCGUGCUUAACACAUGCAAGUCGAACGAAACACCUUAUUUGAUUUUCUUCGGAACUGAAGAUUUGGUGAUUGAGUGGCGGACGGGUGAGUAACGCGUGGGUAACCUGCCCUGUACAGGGGGAUAACAGUCAGAAAUGACUGCUAAUACCGCAUAAGACCACAGCACCGCAUGGUGCAGGGGUAAAAACUCCGGUGGUACAGGAUGGACCCGCGUCUGAUUAGCUGGUUGGUGAGGUAACGGCUCACCAAGGCGACGAUCAGUAGCCGGCAUGAGAGAGUGAACGGCCACAUUGGGACUGGGACACGGCCCAAACUCCUACGGGAGGCAGCAGUGGGGAAUAUUGCACAAUGGGGGAAACCCUGAUGCAGCGACGCCGCGUGAGUGAAGAAGUAUUUCGGUAUGUAAAGCUCUAUCAGCAGGGAAGAAAAUGACGGUACCUGACUAAGAAGCCCCGGCUAACUACGUG